GAGUUUGAUCAUGGCUCACCCNUUNACGCUGGCGGCAGGCCUAACACAUGCAAGUCGAGCGGUUACAGGGAAAGCUUGCUUUCUGCUGACGAGCGGCGGACGGGUGCGUAACACGUAGGAAUCUGCCCGGUAGUGGGGGAUAGCCCGGAGAAAUCCGGAUUAGUACCGCAUACGCACCAGCUCUUUACGAGCGGUGGAAAGCAGGGGAUCUUCGGACCUUGCGCUAUCGGAUGAGCCUGCGUCGGAUUAGCUUGUUGGUGGGGUAAAGGCCUACCAAGGCGACGAUCCGUAGCUGGUCUGAGAGGAUGAUCAGCCACACUGGGACUGANACACGGCCCAGACUCCUACGGGAGGCAGCAGUGGGGAAUAUUGCACAAUGGGCGAAAGCCUGAUGCAGCCAUGCCGCGUGUGUGAAGAAGGCUCUAGGGUUGUAAAGCACUUUCAGUAGGGAGGAAAGGUUGAAGGUUAAUACCCUUUGGCUGUGACGUUACCUACAGAAGAAGCACCGGCUAACUCCGUGCCAGCAGCCGCGGUAAUACGGAGGGUGCAAGCGUUAAUCGGAAUUACUGGGCGUAAAGCGUGCGUAGGCGGCUGCCUAAGUUGGAUGUGAAAGCCCCGGGCUCAACCUGGGAACUGCAUCCAAAACUGGGCAGCUAGAGUGCGGAAGAGGAGUGUGGAAUUUCCUGUGUAGCGGUGAAAUGCGUAGAUAUAGGAAGGAACACCANUGGGCGAAGGCGACACUCUGGUNCUGACACUGACGCUGAGGUNCNAAAGCGUGGGGAANCAAACAGGAAUUANAAUACCCCUG
rnacentral:rRNA from 1 species